CAAUAGCGUAUAUUUAAGUUGUUGCAGUUAAAAAGCUCGUAGUCGGAUUUUGGCUGAGAACGAUCGGUCCGCCGUUAGGUGUGCACUGAUUGGUCUCAGCUUCCUGGUGAGGAGGUGUGCUUCACGGCCACUUAGUCACCGUGGUCACUUUGAAAAAAUUAGAGUGUUCAAAGCGGGCUUACGCUUGAAUAUAUUAGCAUGGAAUAACACCAUAGGACUCCUGUCCUAUUUCGUUGGUCACGGGACGGGAGUAAUGAUUAAGAGGAACAGUUGGGGGCAUUCGUAUUUCAUUGUCAGAGGUGAAAUUCUUGGAUUUAUGAAAGACGAACUUCUGCGAAAGCAUUUGCCAAGGAUGUUUUCAUUGA
rnacentral:rRNA from 1 species